GGAGUAGCUUGUCAUGAUAAUGGAGGAGUGAAGAUGGGGCUGGAGAGUGAACGUAUGUGAGUUAGAGGAGGUCCAGACAAGCAGAAAAAAAGAAUGAAACAGAUUUAAAAUGGCUUCAGAAGUUACCUCUGAGAGUAUUUGAUCUUUGUUUUGGUAACACUGGGUCAUGUCAUUCAGGUUGGCUAAAAGCCCUUGCUCUUCAAAAGAGUUGUCAAAGAUUUAUUUUAUAAAAAUGUAAGUAAAAGACAAGCCAAACACUUUGUGUUUCAUGUUUUUUAGGUCUUUGUGUCAGCAGUAAUUUCUUGCUGUCUUAUUUAUUAUACACUAAGUAUUUCUAGAUAGAAAUUACUUCUGUCUUCUGAUUGAUACCUAUAUGAUACCCAACUAUUUCUCUCUGUAUGCGUUGUCUGUGUAAAUGUACAGGACCCAGUGGACCCUGGAGCCCAUUCCCAUCCUGCACAGCAAGAGCAGCCCAUUGCUGGCCCAGGACACCCAUGAUUCAGAUGCACCAUCCCGACAAAGCAAACAUCAGCUUCUAGUUCAAGUUGGUCAAGAUUUACCCAACAAAAACCCUGAUGGGAAACAGAGAAGUUCAGAAAGGUAA
rnacentral:lncRNA from 1 species